CCUACGGGAGGCAGCAGUGGGGAAUCUUGCGCAAUGGGGGAAACCCUGACGCAGCAACGCCGCGUGGGUGAUGAAGGCCUUCGGGUCGUAAAGCCCUGUCAGGUGGGAAGAAACAUAUCGGUGCUAAUAUCGCCGAUGUUUGACGGUACCGCCGGAGGAAGCACCGGCUAACUCCGUGCCAGCAGCCGCGGUAAUACGGAGGGUGCAAGCGUUGUUCGGAAUUACUGGGCGUAAAGCGCGUGUAGGCGGUCGGGCAAGUCAGAUGUGAAAGCCUUCCGCUUAACGGAAGAAGUGCAUUUGAAACUACCCGGCUGGAGUACGGGAGAGGAGAGUGGAAUUCCCGGUGUAGAGGUGAAAUUCGUAGAUAUCGGGAGGAACACCAGUGGCGAAGGCGGCUCUCUGGUCCGAUACUGACGCUGAGACGCGAAAGCGUGGGGAGCAAACAGGAUUAGAUACCCUGGUAGUCCACGCCGUAAACGAUGGGCACUAGGUGUAGGAGGUAUUGACCCCUUCUGUGCCGAAGUUAACGCAUUAAGUGCCCCGCCUGGGGAGUACGGCCGCAAGGCUAAAACUCAAAGGAAUUGACGG
rnacentral:rRNA from 1 species